AAUGAAGUGCCUGAAUAAAGGAUUAUCGUGAUAGGAUAAACAAUGUAAUUAAAUUACCUUCAUUA
rnacentral:tRNA from 1 species